UUUUCCAGAAAUAUCCACGACCGCCGGACCCCAUUCCUUAUUAAUUCUCUCUCUUUCUCUCUCUGAGUGAGUGAGGAGUAGCUUUUACUUUUACUUUUCUAUUAAAACCAAAAUAAUCAUUAUCUUCAUCAUUGCAAUAUUUCCUUAUUAUAAACCAAAAUCCAUUCUUCAAAGGAAUUCAAUCAAACCUAGAGUAUAACCUAUGAGAUCAGAAUCCGAUCAUUAUGUACAUAUGGAAGCUCUGAUAUUUUGUGGGGAAUGCUGCUUGGUCCAAGGACCUUCAUUCACACAAAACUUCAAUUACUUUUUUAAUAUGGUUGAGUUUGUUACUGUUUCUUUCUCGGACCAGGCUUCAUUCCCCUCAAUUACAUCUUCCUUCUACAAGUUUUUUCAAAUUCUUCUAUAGUAAGUUCUUCUAUGUCUUUAUGUGUUUAAUUCAUUGGUAGAUCUCUUUAUUAAUGAUGAACAGAUUUGACUAACUCACGUCACAUGCCCUUGUCUUGUCUUCACUUCUCAUCAACAGCUCAACAGCUAGCUGAAAAAGGUAACCAUCAUUAGUUUUUUGAGUUCUACUAAUUCUAGAUUUACAUCUAUUUUUGGAUCUGAAACUCACAUUAUUAAUUAAUUUAUUACGCAUGAGUUUGAGUGAUCAUGUUUCUGUAUAUCUGUAUCUAUAAGAUCUGCUAACUAGCUUGUGAAGUUGUGAUCAUAUCAUAUCCUUUUUCCUAGGGUUUCAUUCCCAACUCCUUAGACUCUAGGGUACGUAAAUAUAUAUGCACCUAUAUAUAUAUUUGAGAUUUCAUCUUCUAUUGUUUUUGUUCUUCCAUAAAUUUGUUUAAGGGUGUUGGUAGUAGAUUUAGGUUCCUGAUAACAUGCACAUGUGUCUCAGCUUUGGAUCACUUUCAGUAAUUAAUAGAUAAGUUUGUUUUGAGUGGAAUACAUUCAUUGAUGGAGGAGGAUAGGAUAGUAGUUGAAGCAUAUAAUUUUGUAGAAUUAGAUUCUAUUUUAUUCCUAUCUUUUCUUUAUAAAAGAAAACAUCUUUCUGCUUUCUUUUCAGUAUUUCUUUUAAUUACUUCUUUAUGAACUCUAUACAUUCCCUUUCUUUUUUACACAUCAAGUUACAGUCAAUUUAACUAGAUUAAUUCUUAAGUUAAUUACACAGCUAACCAUACUAUUGUUCUGUUGAAUCAACGUAAUAUAUCUCCAAGUAUUCAUGUGUCUUAUGGAUAGUUUUUCAUGCAUUUACUAUAAUUUUUCAAAUCCAAAGAGCUUUCAUGUGAAGAAUGUGACUGAGAUACUAGACUAAGAAUAUGGUAGAAGAAAGAGUAAGUUAGAUACCUUGAUGAAACAAUCCUUGAUCAAUAUCAAACUUUAUUUAUUGUUCACAAAAUCCUUCUAUAAUCUUAUAUGAGUUUAUUAAAUUACAUUCACUGUAUGUAAAUUAAUAAGUUAUUACAAAAAAUUUUAAAUGCACAUUGGUGUAACUUGUUAAUUUAGACAAGUAAAAAAUUAGUGGGUGGGUGGAAGUUAGCAUUUGCAGUCCUAUAUUUUAUUACAAUUGGCACUGUGCUACGUGGAAGGCCGUGAAUAUUUGCAGGUUAUCGCAGGCCAGAUUCAAUAAUUGUUUGUAAUAAAAGGGACGUGAAAUUGGCUAGCUAGAGUAUAACUUGCUCAAUUUUGCAGAAGGAAGGGACAGACGAGUAAAUUUAAGAUGGCUUAGUAAGAACCUUGGUCUAUAAUAAAGAAGACUUAGCUUGAUCCCUAAAAGUUAAGAAGCGUUCCAUCAAGGUCAAGAUAUCAACGAACCCAAAAAUAGGUAUUCAAGAGAAGAAAAUUCUAGGAUCUCGGGAAUAUGCAUGAUCCUGCUCUAGAAAAACACCUAAUCAAGGUGAAUCAUUGAACGAAGACUGUCAAUCUACAAAACGAAUAGUAUAUCGACACAUUUGUAUCAUACGACUAUUUUGCACAUGAUUAUAUCGACACACUUGAACUAGAUUAUAAAAGAAAAGAGAAUAGAUGGAGACAAGGUACACACUUUUUAUAGCCUAAAAUACCUCACACUACUUUGAUAAUCAUUUACUUGGGUGCUAGAAUGUUUGGAGGUAUCACCAAUGUCGGACUGAGUCACUAGAACUCAACUACAAACUAUACUAUAGCAUCAAAUUUAGUUCAAUCAAUCUAGCCGGUAACACCUCAGAUCCACUCAAGAUUAGAUUUGUUACUUAUUUUUUUAGUGAUAAAAUGUAUUUGUGGCACCCAAAACAUUCAAAUUGAUGGUAACACUACCUAUUUUAUUGUUGGUGAUAUCGAUCCUUCCUUUAACAAUGUAUUUGUGUUAUCAAGACUUGCCUCUAGCUUAAUUUGCGUUGGUUAAUUGGUGGAUAAUAAGUGUAAUGUUAUUUUUCUC